AUACGUAGGUGGCAAGCGUUGUCCGGAUUUACUGGGUGUAAAGGGCGUGUAAGGCGGGAGAUCAAGUCAGAUGUGAAAUACCGGGGCUCAACCCCGGGGCUGCAUUUGAAACUGAUUUUCUUGAGUGCUGGAGAGGAAAGCGGAAUUCCUAGUGUAGCGGUGAAAUGCGUAGAUAUUAGGAGGAACACCAGUGGCGAAGGCGGCUUUCUGGACAGUAACUGACGCUGAGGCGCGAAAGCGUGGGGAGC
rnacentral:rRNA from 1 species